rnacentral:rRNA from 1 species
UCAGACGAUGCGUCAUGCAUAUCAAUAAGCGGAGGAAAAGAAACUAACAAGGAUUCCCCUAGUAACGGCGAGUGAAGCGGGAAGAGCUCAAAUUUGAAAUCUUAAAGGGUUUCCCUUUACGAAUUGUAGUUUAAAGAAGUGUUUUCUGUUGAGGUUUUGGUAAAAGUUCUUUGGAAUAGGACAUCAUAGAGGGUGAGAAUCCCGUAUUUGACCUUUACUUUCAACUUUGUGAUACACUUUCAAAGAGUCGGAUUGUUUGGGAAUGCAGUCCAAAAUGGGUGGUAAAUUUCAUCUAAAGCUAAAUAUUGGCGAGAGACCGAUAGCGAACAAGUACCGUGAGGGAAAGAUGAAAAGAACUUUGAAAAGAGAGUUAAACAGUACGUGAAAUUGUCAAAAGGGAAGCGUUUGACACCAGUGUUGUUUUUCUGAAAAUCAAUUAAAGAACUGUUUAUGCUAAGUUUGUUUAGACUUUAUCAGCUAUCUGUUUAGUUUUGAGCUUUUCUUUAAUGCACUUUUCAGUUAACAAGUCAACAUCAAUUUCUUUUGCUGUAAAAAAGCUUGAGGAAGGUGGCUUGAGAUUCGUCUUAAGUGUUUAUAGCCUCUUGCCUAUGCAGUCGGAGAGAUUGAGGUCUGCAGCGUAGAUCCUUCGGGGCUAAAUGCAUUUGUGCUAAGUUAUAGCAUUUUAUAGACAACUUGUUGACUAUGAUUUGUCUUGUAGCUUACUCGCUUAUGUUAUUUUACCUACGCUUAGGAUGUUGAAUCUGUGCGAGACUAC